rnacentral:rRNA from 1 species
UACGUAGGGAGCAAGCGUUGUCCGGAUUUACUGGGCGUAAAGCGUGCGCAGGCGGUUCUAUAAGACAGAUGUGAAAUCCCCGGGCUCAACCUGGGAACUGCAUUUGUGACUGUAGAGCUGGAGUGCGGCAGAGGGGGAUGGAAUUCCGCGUGUAGCAGUGAAAUGCGUAGAUAUGCGGAGGAACACCGAUGGCGAAGGCAAUCCCCUGGGCCUGCACUGACGCUCAUGCACGAAAGCGUGGGGAGCAAACAGG